CUCUUUUAUUCGUAAUCCUUUUGUAUUAUAAUUAGGAAACUAAAAUAUUUUAAACCCACUUCGUACUUGUCCUAGCAAAACCUAUCUAUCUCUCUAACUGGGUCUGUCAGACAUCCUCAGGCCGUUGAACGAUCGUCCACCGCUCAAACGAUCCAAGAGUCAUUGGGCUGUUAGGGACGGCUCUGAUCACUUGGUGAUGGUUCAUCCACCAGGCUGAAGUUCUCCACAGAAAUCAAGGAUACAAAUGAUAGAACAGAUCCCUAUUCAAGUAAGAUCGUGUCAAGCAAUGGCGGAAAGGACUAUAUAAAGGCUUUUGUGGUUUUGCGCAGCGUCGAUGUGGGACCGUGUUGUUGAAUUUUUCAGUUAACUACUAGCUGCCAAGGUAUUGCCUUCAAUUUCAACCACAUUGAAGCCAAUUACUGUAAAAUAAUCGAGAAUUCCAAUUCAGAAAGAUUAUACUGCCUAUAUUAAUAGGUGGCUCGAAGCUAUAUGAACAUCUAAUUGGAUGAAAAAGCAACCCUGAACUUUUUUGCUUUGCUCACAAAAUCAGAGUUUAAACAAAAUUGAAUGAGGCCUAAACGUUAUGGGUCAAACUUGGUGGGUUGUGCAGGAUUCCGAUUAUAACAUGUGUAUGGUUAAAGCACGUCAAUCACCAUGAGUGAACAUGAAAGUGCACUUAGUUAGUACUGUCCGUCAUUGUUACCUUUCGAGAUAUAUAUUUACUUGGAAUCAGUUGAAAUGAGUAUUGGAAUAAUUCUAAUUUAUGAGUCGUGAUUUUUCUGCGAUUACGUGAAUGAAGCAACACAAGCAUCCCAAGUGAGAAGACGAAUGCGCAAUGCAAGGGCGGUUGUUAGUGAGCUAGUAACGGAGCUUAAAGGCCAUGAGGACCAAGGACGAAAGUCGGGUUUAGUGAGACCUCGGACUCGAGAGAAACAAAGGAAGCUAAGAGGCAUGAAUUCCCCAAAGGCUAGAGAUCGAGCUGCGACGACCACAGAGGGUACAACGACGGGAACCAAAGUUGGCAAGAGCCAAAGGUGACAACAAGAGUUCGCAAUGAGCCAACACAGCACGAGGGCCAACAGACAAAGAAGCAAAAAUGGAAGCCUUGAAGGCUCCGAACGACACAAGGCCAUGAGUCAAAGGCCAACAUACAUUACAUUUUGCAGAUGCAGACUUAAAAUAGUUGUACAAACUAAACGGAGGUUAAGGUAAUAUGAUUAUAUUGCUUUCAAAACAUAUCCUCACGAGUCACAACCAAACUACAUAAGAACAUCGCAGUCGGUCUCGGUUUUACAUUUACAUACCCAACAUAGGAAACAUAUAAUCUCGCCGAGCAAGAACUCAGUUCUAUUCAAUUAGGUAUAUUUUAUGCAUACGCCAACAAAGGCCGCUUGGUCACCAACCAUCUCCAUUCCUUGCUUCCGGGGGCAGUCUUCAGUCCUGUGCUCAUAACGCUUCCCACAAAUCUUACAAUAAUUCGGAACAGCAAUACCAACCCAAUCGUUCGUACCAGGAUGGCAACCCUCUUUUUUACAGCAUGUACAAAUUAGAGUAGCGCCACGCCCAACUUGUUCACCCUUCGGGACAUAGUACUGAUACGUGCAAGUUGGAUUCGCAUGACUCCUUCCCGCAUGGUCUACAACUCAGGUCAGGAACUUGAGUCGAAGAGUCUGCACAAUCAUUCGGGUUAGAGUCAAGCAUGGUAAUCCUACACUUUUACCCCCAUAAACGCGUGACACGUCCAAGUAAACAUCAAUGACAACUAUUUAUUUUUUUUACCAAAUAGAGGACUAAGCUAGUACUUCAACUAGGGGGUACAACAGUGGCAGAUUCAGAUUGGAGAACAAAAGAAAAACACAAAAACCUACCAAUUUGUGGGCAGUGCUUGGUCAUGUGAUCAUUAAUCUUCUUACAGAUUACGCAAAACUUUGGAAUCUCUCCACGCGGCUCGAGUAAAAACCAUGCUCCCGUUUUUGGGUUCGUAUAUAUUUGCGAAUCCGCUGUUAAAUAAAUUCACACACUCAAAUUUAAGAUCAAAACAGGUUAAUAAAAUGUACUAUUUAGUAUUGUAUAAACUGAAAGAUUCAGAGAUUGGCACACCCUAAACAAUUACAAAAUUCUGAUCCCAUCCAAUUUUCUAUGAAUUCAGAAAUACCGAAUCCGAUUAUAUGGAUUAGGAAAUGCAUAGAAAUUCCCUUCCCAAAGUGUUUAGAUAUUGAAAGAGAAAUUUUAUUGGAACCCAUUCAACGUCUUUCCACACCCAAUACAAAAAAAAAAAUUCUUAAAAUUCCUAAUUCACCCUUUGAUUAAAACUGAAAAAAGAAAUAAACAAAACUGAAAUCUCUUUCCAUACCCGGUGGUUCUCUUCCACCUCAAACCCCACGGACAAUUCACCGGCGAUUCUCCAUGGAAACUUCAAUUUAAAUUCUUUUAGCAUCACAACCGCCUUAUAUGGCACACCAUUCAAUUUCCACAUGUUUUGACUUCGAACUGUCCAUACAAGAUAAAUGAUCCCUCUUCAGCUCAACGCCUUACUCGUCGACGACUUCGCCAUCCCUUCUCGGCCAUAGACAUUUGUGGUCCUCCACAUUGCCGGCUCUGUACCACUAGGAAACUUGUAACUAGAGAGGAAGUUCUACACCUAGGUUUUCUCAAUUUGCUUCUCCUCUGCAUUAUCAAGCACUAUGCUUCGGCUUCUUCUCUUGAUCUUCAGGUCUCCGACUGUUUGAAUGAGUUGAAGCAAACGUAGCUUCAAGUAGUUGAACGGUAGCAGAAGCACCACACUUGUCAACGUACGGCUUUUGGUCUCCAUUCUCGAUGACGUAUGCCGAAUGCCCUAACAUGGAAGUUGCAGGAAGGAGCUCCUUCUUAGCCAAGGACUACCGCGACACACCACCUGUGCAAGCUUCAAUUGAAGCCGUCCUAGGGCAUGUUUUCCGGCGAAGGGAGGGACGGCCGCCACUUCUCGCCCUCACGUUUCUUCGACUAUGCUUGUAGACCUCUGAUCCCAACAUUAUGAUUGAAGAGCGUGAGAAAUAAAGGAGGGAGAAGGACAAAUGAGUAGGGAGAUAAUACGAAAUAGGAGGUGGUUAAGAGACUCUAACGACAAGAGAUUCAGGCCGACGACAAGAGAUUCGUACAGGUAACAAAUUAAGCCUCGCAUGUCGAACUAAGGGCUAAGUUCGACCCGACUAAAGCUAAGUACAAUUUGACUAAGAAGUCUGACCAGCUCGAUAGCCCGAGAGUCAUGUGCUAUGGGCAUUCUAGUCAUUCUCGCCACCCAGCGUGCCACAUUUUAGGCUAAAAAUCAUAGUCCCAUAAAUGGUCUAACUAUGCUUCUGAGAGUGCAUUACGCUCAAUGAUGGGUAGUUACUGACAUACCACGGGUAAAUCAUUUUAGAAUGACCUUUUUUUUUUCUUUUUCGAAAUGUGUAUACCAUCGAAUUCUGUGUUUGAUUUUGAGCUAGCCAAAUUUUACUCGUCCUACUUGCUUAUUUGUCUCUAAAAAAUAUGAUCUUUCGGAGUUUCAAAUCAUAUUGUAGACUCGAUACCUUUCAUCAACCUCUAUUUUCCUUUCUUGGUUUCUCAACAAAGAAUUGUUUUGUUUGCUUUAAAAUUUAAACCUUUACUCUCACUUAAACAACUAAGUAGAAGACGGUGACUAGGUGGAUUGAGAGGAGGCUGGGGGAGAGCAGGGCGCGGGACGAGGAAAGAUAGCUGUACUGGGAGAGGAAAGAUAUAGAAAACGUAAAAGUCAUGAACUAAACUUGACUGAAAAGCUCUAGCACUCGAAAACAAUUCACCAAACCCACAUUGUAUGUGAAUAUUAAAAUUUAAUACAAUUCAUUUCCAAUCCUUCGAUCAGACAAAUUUCUUGGUCUUUAUACUUCGUCAAUCUUCUUGUUGCACUCUUCCAAAGAUCAUUUAUCAAUGUUUGGACCUGAAAAUACAUAAAAUAAAAAUAUUAACACAAGUUAAAUAAAAGAAGAGUUGUUAGUAAGUGAAAGAAUAGUUAGUAACAUGAAACUGCUAAAACAAGGAAUACCAUGAUUUCCUUUUAAUCGAUGAAAUCUACGUGACUCCUGCUAUGCAGAUCGGUUGUCAUAAUCACUUCCAACUUCUUCCUAGUUUCAACACAUACUAUAGCUGCCGGGUCAAAAGUUCGCUCUGAAAUUUUCAUCCACGUUAACGGUUAAUUCCCAAAAUCCUGAGUAAAUAUAGCAUCGCUCUGGUCUUGUUCCCAUUGUUGAACUAAGCCAUUAUAAGCCAAAUAUGCCACCUCUUCAUAUUGGAUACGUAGGACAUGGUAUGGGAACUCCCAAGUCGUCUUCAACUCUCCGCCACAACCUAAGCAAUGUGAUCGCAUAACAUUCUUUUCUAUAUUAUGUGCAUAUAUAUAUAUAUAUAUUUAGUAACUUUGAAAUAUUAAAUUUUCAGUUCAUAUGGAAAUGUUAUGCGAUCACAUUGCUUAGGUUGUGGCGGAGAGUUGAAGACGACUUGGGAGUUCCCAUACCAUGUCCUACGUAUCCAAUAUGAAGAGGCGGCAGAUUUGGCUUAUAAUGGCUUAGUUCAACAAUGGGAACAAGACCAGAGCGAUGCUAUAUUUACUCAGGAUAUUGGGAAUUAACCGUUAACGUGGAUGAAAAUUUCAGAGCGAACUUUUGACCCGGCAGCUAUAGUAUGUGUUGAAACUAGGAAGAAGUUGGAAGUGAUUAUGACAACCGAUCUGCAUAGCAGGAGUCACGUAGAUUUCAUCGAUUAAAAGGAAAUCAUGGUAUUCCUUGUUUUAGCAAUUUCAUGUUCCUAACUAUUCUUUCACUUACUAACAACUCUUCUUUUAUUUAACUUGUGUUAAUAUUUUUAUGUUUUUUAUUUUAUGUAUUUUCAGGUCCAAACAUUGAUAAAUGAUCUUUGGAAGAGUGCAACAAGAAGAUUGACAAAGUAUAAAGACCAAGAAAUUUGUCUGUUCGAAGGAUUGAACUCUUUAGUUAUUUGCAAAGUUUAUUUGAAGAGGAGUGCAUUACAUUGAAUUCUUUAGUUAUCUGGAAAGUUUAUUUUAAAUGAAAAGUGCAUUGCUUUUACUUAUAGCAAAAGAUUAUGAUGGUGCAACAAAGUUCAUUUGGAUGUCUUAGAAUAAUAUAAAUACAUUACACACAUAUAUUCUAUAUUAAGUACAUAUAUAUAUUUUAUUUAGUUUUUCUUUUAAUAUCAAAUUUUCAGUUCAUAUGGACAUGUUAUGCAAUCACACUGUUUGGAUUGUGGCGAAGAGUUACAACUUGGGAUUUUCUGUAACAUGUCGUGCGUUAUCCAAUAUGUGAAAGUCCAAAGGCGGCAACGUUUUGGCUUAUAAUGACUUAGAUGAAAGGAUGACAACAAAACUAGGGCGGUUCUAUAUUUACAUGGGAUUUUGGGAAUCAAUCGCUAACGUGGAUUAAAACUUACCCAGAAGCUAUUGUAUGUAUUGAAACUAGGAAGAAGCUAAAAACAAUUACGACAACUGACCCGCAAAGCUAGAGUUACGCACAAUUUCAACAAUUGAAGAGAAAACAUAGCUUCUAAGUCACCAGUAUCCUUUUUCUUUUGUUUCCAUGUCACUAAAAACUGGCUAAAUGGAAUUCGAAAAGAGCAAGAAGAAAACUUAUAGAUUAGAAGAUCAAGACACAGGAUUGUAUGUCAUUAUCAAUACAUAAUGAUGUCUGGGUUUCUAAAAUUUAAGUGAAUCAACUUUAAGCUAACCAAAUUAGGUUUUAAUGGGCCCCUAUUUUGGCUGGUCAUACCUUGAUGUGAGCAUUAAUCACCGCUUAAUUACUUCAAGCAUCGACUUUGCAUUUUUCACCUUUUUCUUUGAGAAGAUCUGAUGCGGUUAGUUAUGCCCCGUCAAAAAGUAUUGUCUGCAACUAGUUUCAAACUAGGCCUUAGUAUAGCAAAGAAAACAAUCUUACAAACUCAACCAACCCUCGUUGGCCUCACUUUUUAAAUUUCCUUCAACAAGUUCAACUUUCUAAAGGUAAUAUAAAUGUUACAAACAAAUUACACAUUGAUGCCAAUACAUUACAAUUAGCAACCCAUUUUUCAAAUUUUUUAUCUUUAGAAAUAGAUCAAUACUACUUAAAAUCUUGAAAAUGACGAGUUUGCAACGAAUUUGUCCCUCACCACUUUAGUGUAAAUAUAUCAUUGUAUUAAAAAAAUGAUGCAAUGCACCAAACUGUUAAACAAAAACUGGAAUGCAGUGUCUAACUCGAGUUCAAUUCUUUAUGAAAAAUUUUAGUGAGGUGUUUUAUUAUUAUGCGAGUUAUGAUAAAUUAGGUAAAAAAAUAGAGGUCUAAAACAAUCUCACAACUUGGGAAUUAAAACCAGUGCGUCUUUUCUUUUGAAAAAUAAGACAACAUCACUUCCCAAAAGUAACCGAUAAUGGCAUGUGAGCCAUGUUAGGGAAGCAGCAAGGCAUUUACUACUUUUUCCUGCAAAUCACUUCCCAAAAGUAACCGAUAAUCCCAAAAGUAACAGAUAUAAUACAAGAGUAAUCCUGAAACGUUAAAUCUCAUUAUCAUUUUACAGAGAGUUUCUAGCCUUUCUUGCUAAAAGCGCUUAAUUCACAUCAAAUUUGAAUUUUAUGUCUCAAAUUCAAUAAACAAACGAAUGUAAGGCGAACAUUGUUAUACAAGUAUGUGAAAUUUUUUAUGCAAUUGGAUUUGGCACUGAAGCGACUUUAACGGUCAAAAGUAUGUGAAAUUUUUAUAUGAUAACAGUCUUUGAGUAACUAUGCUCUAUGUGUUGCAUUAUUGUUAGGUUACGACCCAACAUAACAGAAUAACAGGAUGUAUCGUUAGCAUAUAUACGUUGCGUUCACACAUGCCGACUUGGUUGAUCGAAAGAGAAACAAAAAGGAAACCCAAUUUCCCCCAAUUUUCCCAGUAGUUGCCUACUAUCCAAAGAAACCCAAAAAACCCAGCUGCAACAGAUCCCAAAAAAAACCAAUUAAACACAGAAAAAUUGGGGGAAAAUGUUAGAGAAUUGGUAAAAAUUGGGAUUUUUAUGCAAACCACCACACAUUCAUGCAAUUCUACACAAUACAGUAAACAAGAGAGGGAAAGGACAGAGAGAGACCUCAAGUAACUUGGCUCACUGUAAUGAACUGAUACCACCACCAGCACUAGAACUACCACCUGCAGAAAGAAUACAAGUCAUGAACCAAAGAUUUCCCACAAAAUAUUCCAAAAUACAAGCUUAUGAAACAAAAUAAAAUCAGAUCUACGGCUCUACCAAAACCCCCUUUUCCUUUCACCGGAGCGGAGAAACACAGAAACAAGAAACAAAGAUUUCCCACAAAAAUACUACAAAAUAGAAGCAUAUGAAUGAAAAAGGAUCAGCUCUAUGGCACUACCUCAAAACCCCAUUUUCCUUCCGAUGGAGCGGGAAGAGAGGGAGGAUCAUGGUGAGUUUAUCUCAGCCAAAGCCUCUGGAUACCAAGAAGAAGGAUAAAAAAUUAGAAAAAAUACAAAAUGAAACAAAUGAACACUACAUAUCAUAUAACCUGAUCCAGCAUGAACUCAGUUCUACCCAAUUAAAUACAUUUCUGUUCACGAGUCAACCAUAGCCGAUUGGAACUUGCCUCCUACUAUCUCUCUUCCCUUUUUCACGGGGCAGUCUUCAGUCCUGUGGUCAUAAGUAGAAGAACAAAUCCUGCAAUAAUUACCAACAGCUUUUCCUACCCAUUCCUCACCAGGAUGGCCACCCUCUUUUUGACAACAUAUGCAAACGAGUUUACCGCCGGGGCCAACUUUUUCACCCUUUGGGACAUAGUACCGGUACGGACAAAUUGGAACCACAUGAUCCUCCCUCAAACAGAGUCGACAUCUCACGUCAUGAACAACAGUUGAAGAGUCUGCACAAGCAUUCAAGUUAGUCGAGCAUGCUAAUCCUAACUUUUGACACCAUAAACAUGUGACAUGCCCAAGUAAAUAUCAAUGACUAAACUGUGUUUCUAAUACCGAAAGAGGACUAUGUGAGUACUUCAAAUAGGGACUGCAAAGGGGUGGAUUGGGGCCAGACUAGCUAAACUUCCCCAAAACCCUGUCCUUGCAAGUCCAAUCGAAUUAAAGAUUCCCCAUACACAAAAUCCGUCAGGUAAUGGAUCCCCAUCAGUUAAAGGUUUUACCUAUCAUCAUCAUAUCAACAAAAAGUUGUUUUGAAUAGUUAAUUAAGAACCGUCACACACUAAUAUUAUCUGCAUGACCCUUUCAAAGUUGUCAAAAAAGAUUUAUGAACCAAACUAAAUAAACACUAAAGGCAUAAAUUAAAAAUAGAAAUAAAAGCUAAAUACAUAAUAACUGUAUUUUUUGUUAUAUAAUAUCGCCGUCGGCAUCACUCUAUUGUUCACAAAUGGCUCGUUUCCCAGUGGCCUUCUCUGCACGUUCGGUCAAUAUGAGGAGGAACCCAAAAAACGAAUAAAAACUGGGGAGAGUCAGAGACCGAUAUUGAAUCAUAUACCCAAAACAGGUUUCUUAAAAACAGACCAGAGUCCACAGAUUUAAUGGGUUAGAUUGUCUUGCCUAACUUUAACAGUCAUUCCGCUAUUUCGAUCAUCAGUCUCGAGAGAUUAUGUUAUGUAAAAGAGAGACGCGAUCAUGGUUGCACCAUCAUCAAAUGAAUCGCCCAGCCUCACCAAAAUGUAAAAGGGAGAAGAAAUAGCAGAGAAAAAAAUACAAAAAACAUACCAAAACGCGGGCAUUGCUUAGUCAUGUGGUCAUCGCUCUUCUUACAAAUUCUACAGUAGAUGGGAGGCGGGAUAUGUGGUUGGAGACAAAACCAUCGACCCGUUUUUGGUUUGUCAUCUGUCUGUGCUUCCGCUGUAAAAUAAUUACACAAACUUAAUAUCAACAUGGAUGAAUAAUAUGUACUGUUUCCCGUAUUUGUACAAAAGAAAAGAAAAAAAACACUCUUCAUCUUCCUCAUAAACUGAAAAAUUCAGAGAUUGGCACACCCGAAUCACAAACAAAAAUCGAAUAAAAUAAUAAACCUGACUAGUCUUGUUAAUUCGGGGGACAUACUGGUGUUCUUCCUUUCUUUGAGGGAUGAUCUUCGUGCCCUUAUCUCACUCAAUUCUUUUUUCGCUGUUAAAUACACAAAAUUUAAAGAAAUAAUAUCUGGGAUAUAGGCUUGCUUGCAAAAUUAAUCACAAAACCCUAAAAUUAAAUCAAAGAAAAAAAAAAACAUCAAAACCAUACCAGUCAUUCGAGCAUUAUAGUUUUCCUCGAUAGCAAAAUAAACCUUUCCCGGGGGGAAGUCCUCGAAUUCAUCAUCAUCGCUAUCGUCCCAGUGCCAUAUGAGCUUCCCCCGCUUGCGCAGCUCGUCUGCGUUCGGUGGUAAGUCCGGGAUCGGGCCCUGGAGCGAUUCUAGAUCUGGACUCAAGAGUUUUUGUUUCUUGCUCUGGCGCUCGGACUCGUUACCGCUCUGGCUCAUGGCUGUGUGCGAAAGAGAGAGGAGAUUCCGGUGGGGAGCCUGGCCUUGUGAAUAUAAGGGUUUGUUUUUCCCUUUUUCAUUAUUAUUUUUAAUUUCUGUUUUUGGUAAAGGUAUAAUCGCACACUCAGAAAUCGAAGAGGCACCUACUUUUCUAGCCUUGUUAGCACCUGUCACACGCACUCAGUUUUGCAGAAAUUAUGGGCAUUCUGUCGAAGACUUCUGGUGAAGUAGAAAGCACAUGAAUCUUACUGUUCAAUCACCCACUUCCCACACGCAACAAUAGCUCAUGGGUACCACAGAUAACUUUGCCAAAGUUCUCUGCCAAAGUUGAGCACGUGAAGCUUGCAGCUCCCACUACAUCGCUCUGACCAAGAAAGGUAAAAAAAUAGCAAAGAAACAGCACUAACAAAGUUUAGACACAUAAAUUUUGAAGGUCUAGCUACCAUAUUAUUACCCACAAGGGUAAAGGAACAGUACCACUGCCGGAUAAUUGGAAAGUCCCUGUGUCAACCUCUGUGCUUCGUGGCAAGGUAGACUAGCAAACAUGCCCAACCUUUACUCACAUUCGAGAAAACACUCCCAACAAGAUUGCUUGCUCCAAAAUCGAAGAGGCACCGUCCUCCGAAUCUCGAGAGCCAGACUCCCAACAUGACUACUUUCUCAAAAGCGAAGAGAGGGUAAAGGAACAGUACCAUUGCUGGAUAAUUGGAAAGUCCCUGUGUGUCAACCUUUGUGCUUCGUGGCAAGGUAGACUAACAAACAUGCCCAACCUUUACUCACAUUCGAGACAACACUCCCAACAGGAUUGCUUGCUCCAAAAUCGAAGAGGCACCGCCCUCCGAAUCUCGAAAGCCAGACUCCCAACAUGAUUACUUCCUCAAAAAUCGAAAAGACACUGCUCUCCGAAUCUCGAGAGCCAGACCCCCAGCAUGAUUGCUUUCUCAAAAAUCGAAGAGGCAUCGUUCUCCGAAUCUCGAGAGCCAGAUACCACAGACCACUUUUUCAAACUGCUCUGACAGAGUUAAAACAUGUGAAACUGGCAGCUCCCACUACCGUGCUAUGACCAAGCAGGGUAAAGGAAUAGCAUUACUACUUGUUGUUAGGGAGAUUCCUAUAUAUGUCGACCUCCAUCUCCAACGGACAGGCAGGCCUGCAAAAAUGCUCAACCCUUCAUCAUAUCUGAGAGGGCACUCCCAACGAAGCCUUUCGAAAUAUUCAGCUUUCUUUCCCCCCGAUAAUACCUCUGCAAACAAGCUAUACUAGAGCAAGAAUAUCUCAUAUCAUCAGGGUUAAAAGCAAGAGUAUCCCAUAUCAUGUUUUUUUCGUCUUUUCCUUUGGCCUUGUUUUUACCUGCAAGACAAGGAGAAAGAGAGCAAUCAGUCAGCACUUGGAAUCAAGCUUCCAGCCAGAAACUGACUGCCUGGAACCCCUUACCUGAUUACUUAUCUGGCAUUGCUCUCGAGUACUCAUCUUCAACAUCUUAUGUUUCCAGGGAAGAUUCCGCAUCUGCUUGAGGAACAGAUAGGGCAAGUGCGAAGGAUACAAGGAAGCAUGUGGAGACAAGCGUAACAGCACACGUGCCGAUACAUCCAUUACUCUGUCAAAAGCAAAAGUAUCACAUAUCAGCAGGGUGGAACGUACUCUAGAUUUGAUGGACUUGUUUUGACCCUCAAAUUCUUCAGUCGGCCUUAUACUCUGGAGGAAACCAGAAAACCCUCCAGCUCAGUUCAAGAAUAAGCCUGUGGAAAGUUACUUCUUCAAAAGCAAAAGUAUCUCAUAUCAUCUCUUCUCAUUUUUCUUCUCUUUAUCCUUCAUGCUGCUGCAAGAUGGGGAGAAGGUGAACAAUCAGUCGGAGCUCUGAUUGCUUACCUUGUCUGUCACCUCUUUCAGCAGACCCCGUAGCUCGGCGACUUGGGGGACUCCUACUACAUGGUUUGUAUCGCGCUUGACCAAGCCUGAAACUACAAGUAAGCUUCAAGUGAAAUUGAUACAUUACCUUAUGCAUCUCCACCAGUUAAAGAUACCAUCCCUGGAUGGAGGAAGAGUACUUCCAGAGAAGAUGCCACAUCUACCUAUGAGACAGAUAAGGCAAGUCAAGACGACACCACACUCCGAUACUUAGAAGUUUCGUGAUUACGAGAUCAUUCUCACACAAUAUUUCCUAAUGUCAUUUGUACUAAAUCAUUCACUUGUACUCACUAAAGGAGAGCUUGAACCUAUGUACUUGUGUAAACCCUUCACAAUUAAUGAGAACUCUUCUAUUCCGUGGACGUAGCCAAUCUGGGUGAACCACGUACAUCUUGUGUUUGCUUUCCUAUCUCUAUCCAUUUAUAUACUUAUCCACACUAAUGACCGGAGCAAUCUAGCGGAAAUCACAAAAAGCGACCGUUUUCGCUACCUAGGAUCUAUCUUGCAAGAGAACAGAGAAUUAGAUGGAGAUCUCAACCAUAGAAUACGAGCUGGAUGGAUGAAGUGUAAGAGUGCAUCCGGCGUGUUGUGUGACCGUCGUAGGCCACUGAAGCUCAAGGGAAAAUUUUAUAGGACGGCAAUAAGGCCAGCGAUGUUGUAUGGCACAGAAUGUUGGGCGGUGAAGCAUCAACACGUACACAAAAUGGGUGUAGCGGAGAUGAGGAUACUUCGUGGGAUGUGUGGGCACACGAGAAAGGAUAAGAUUGGGAAUGAGGAUAUCCGAGGUAAAGUAGGAGUAGCCGAAAUUGUAGGAAAGAUGAGAGAAAAUCGGCUCCGGUGAUUUGGACAUGUGCAAAGAAGGCCGACUGACGCUCCGGUUCGAAGAUGUGACUACGGGACAGAGGUUCAGGGCCGAAGGGGUAGAGGAAGACCUAGGAAAACUUUGGAAGAGACUCUAAGAAAAGACUUGAGUACUUGGAUCUAACGGAGGACAUGACACAAAACCGAGCGCAAUGGCGUUCUAGGAUUCAUAGCCGACCCCACUUAGUGGGAAAAUGCUUUGUUGUUGUUGUUGUUGGUAAAGGUAUAAUCGCAUUGGAUUUUGAAUUUUUUUUUACUAACAUGUGAAUGUGGUAUGUGUACCAUUACUCAUAAAUAAUAUGUUUUGUUAAUGCGAUAAGGUUAUUAUCAAAUAUAAUCACAUUGAAAAUAAAUUUUUUGAAACUAUAUUUUAGGUCAGAUUUGACCUGUGUCAAUAAAUUUAACGAUUAGAUAUAAAUAUCUGAACUUGUGUAGAAGCUAAUCCAACAUUUUGAUAUGGUUUUCUUAUUGUUUUUCAUAAUCGUUUGACAUAUUAUCUGCUUGUGAUAUCUUGAAAACAGAGGAUGCCCACUACAGUAGCAGUUAUUCUAGUUGAUGAGGGCACCAUAUUUGCAGUGGAUACUCGGGUUUCUACGAGAUUAAUGAAACUAAAUCUCAUUAUAUCAUGAUGAGGAUAUGAGUUUAACUCAAGACUAUUUAGUUUGAAGUGUGGGACACGAGGAAAUAAUCGAAGUUUGUUUGAACAUUUGGAUAAACAUGUGCAAAAGCCUUUUAAAACAGGUAAUGCACCUUAUAGCUAUAUAUAUAUAUGUAUAUUAUAAGAUCAUGAGACUUUGAAUUAAUGUAGGACAUAAACCUUAUCGUUGAAGGAUUCGCAACGAAAACUAUGCGAUUCAUAGAUAAUACAGGGAGAUGUCUUUGAAAUUGCCAACUUUUUUGUAGGAAGUGAUUCCGAUGCGACUCAUUCAAUAGUCAGGUUUAUAUUCUACAUUAAUUCAAAGUCAGAUGACAUUGUAAUAUAAUAUUAUAUAUAUAUAUAUAUAUAUAAGGUGCAUUUCCUGUUUCAAAAGGUUUCGCACAUGUUAAUCCAAAUAUUCAAACAUACUUCAAUUAUUUCCUUGUAUCCCACAAUUCAAACCAAAUGGUCUUUAGUUAAACUCAUGACCCUCAUCAUGAUAUCCAUGAGAUUCAGUUUCACUAUUCUCGUAGAAACCCCUAGCAUCCACUGCAAAUAUGGCGCCCUCAUCAACUAGAAUAACUACAACCGUAGUGGGCAUCCUCUGUUUUCAAGAUAAAAGAAUAAAGUAGGUAAUUAAAAAAUUCCCAUCACAAGUAGAUAAUAUGUCAAACAAGAUUAUGAAAAACAAAGAAAAUAAGAAAACCACAUCAAAAUGUUGGAUUAGCUUCCACACAAGUUCAGAUAUCUGCAUACGUGUAACUACAUAAUGACUUAAACUCCAUACUUUGAAGAUCAAGGUUUCAUUUCACAUACUUCAUAACAAACCUUUUAUCUAUAUAAGCAAAUCCUUUAACAAGAGGAGUUUAUGAGUACAAUUGAAAUUGACAUUGAAACGUUCUCAUACAGUCAAAGCAAUGAUAAAAGCAAGCAACUUUUGAUUGGAGCUGCAAUUUCACAAACAUAAACAACAUAAGAGUUUUAAAUUUGUCCCUACUCCUUCAGACACCACAAGAGCAAAAGACUAUCUAUCUUACAAUUCCCCUCCCACCCCCGACUCAGACGUGUACAAAAUCCCCAUAACACAGCAACUUUGAGGAAGAUAAACAACAACAGGGGAAACAAAAAGGAAAUUAAGAAAACCCCACUUUCAAAUUAGAAGUAGAAACCCAAUUUCCGACAAAUCAAUCAGUAAACCUUCAAUUACAAAAUAAAAUUCCAAAGAAACCUAAAUCCAAUCAAACAGAAAAGAUAACAAAGAAAAGGAAGAUAGUCAACACUCCUUCCUUUUGUGAUGUUUAACAUACAACAAUGUGUUACAUGUCUUACAGUCUUAUCGUCAAAAUGUAAGACAUGCCACACUAUUCAGACAACCCAAGGAGGACUACAACAGCAAGCAAAAAGAAAUAUUCAAAUAGCAUUAAAGGAAAUAUGCACUGACAAAUAAAGAAGACAACCACAUCAGCAAUCUCAAUAAACAACAUUUGACAAAUAUCAUGUUCUGUGAAAUGCAUUUGAAUGAACCCUUUGAAACUUUGUACUAUAUAAUCACUUUCAAGAGAAUCAUAACUAAAUUAAUUUAUCAUAUUAGCCUUUAAAUCUUAUACACUUAUACAAUAAUCUCUAUUGUCAUUCAUAUUAGCCUUUAUCAUAUUAGCCUUCAUAAACCUGCAGCCGCAAAACUUGAUCAGGUUCAGAGACAUUGCCACCAUUGUAAGGGUCACAACUUUCAUAUUUCUACUUAUGUACAAACACAUGAAGAUAUUUCUUAUAUCAAAACAUCAGGUCAUGUAGUUUUUUUAGCUGAGGAGUUGUUGUUAGCAUAUCUAACGGUGAAAGUAUAUGCUUCAAUCAUGUAGAAUCUCAUAUUUACAUGGUUGUUAGCUUGGUCAACAAUGUAAUCCUUCUCAAGAACUUCAACUUUCAAGGAUUAUUGGUAUUCUAAAAUCAUAUCGUCGCUCUAGUUGCAGGAGAUGCUGGAUUCAAACAUCACUCUAAACCCCCUAACCACCACUUAUUAAACUUAAGAGAUACAAGGUGAAGAUGCACAUGUAUGAAUAUCUAAAAACCACCGAUAAAAAUAAACUCAAUAAUCCCAGCUGCAACAGAUCUCAAAAACCACCGAUAAAAAUACAGAAAUGACAAUCCAACCAACCACCACACUUCAUGCAAUUCUACACAAUACAGAAAACAAGAGAGAGCAAGUUACAGAUAUAUUACCUCAGGUAUAAUACAACAGAUAUAAUACAACAGUAAGGCAUUUUACUACUUUUUCCUGCAAAUCUGUAAUGUCAGACCACAACCACAGAUAUAAUACAACAGUAAUCCUGAAACGUUAAAACUCAUUAUCAUUUUACAGAGAGUUUCUAGCCUUCCUUGCUAAAAAUUCACAUCAAAUUUGAAUUUUAUGUCUCAAAUUCAAUAAACAAACGAAUGUAAGGCAAACAUUGUUAUACGAGUAUGUGAAAUUUUUUAUGCAAUUGGAUUUGGCACUGAAGCGACUUUAACGGUCAUAACAAGUAUGUGAAAUUUUUAUAUGAUAACAGUUUUAGAGUAACUAUGCUCUCUGUGUUGCAUUAUUCUUAGGUUACGACCCAACAUAACAGAAUAACAGGAUGUAUCAUUAGCAUAUAUACGUUGCGUUCACACAUGCCGACUUGGUUGAUCGAAAGAGAAACAAAAAGGAAACCCAAUUUCCCCCAAUUUUCCCAGUAGUUGCCUACUAUCCAAAGAAACCCAAAAAAACCCAGCCGCAACAGAUCCCAAAAAAAAACCAAUUAAACACAGAAAAAUUGGGGGAAAAUGUUAGAGAAUUGGUAAAAAUUGGGAUUUUUAUGCAAACCACCACACAUUCAUGCAAUUCUGCACAAUACAGUAAACAAGAGAGGGAAAGGACAGAGAGAGACCUCAAGUAACUUGGCUCACUGUAAUGAACUGAUACCACCACCAUCACUAGAACUACCACCUGCAGAAAGAAUACAAGUCAUGAACCAAAGAUUUCCCACAAAAUAUUCCAAAAUACAAGCUUAUGAAACAAAAUAAAAUCAGAUCUACGGCUCUACCAAAACCCCCUUUUCCUUCCACCGGAGCGGAGAAACACAGAAACAAGAAACAAAGAUUUCCCACAAAAAUACUACAAAAUAGAAGCAUAUGAAUGAAAAGGGAUCAGCUCUAUGGCACUACCUCAAAACCCCAUUUUCCUUCCAAUGGAGCGGGAAGAGAGGGAGGAUCAUGGUGAGUUUAUCUCAGCCAAAGCCCUCUGGAUACCAAGAAGAAGGAUAAAAUAUUAGAAAAAAUACAAAAUGAAAAGCAUUGGAUUUAAGGAAAUCAGAUAUGUUCCCCUACCUCAAAAACUCCAUUUUGCUUGCACCGAAGUGAAACACAGAGAGAGAGAGAGAGAGAGAGAGAGAGAGAGAGAGUGAGAGUGAGCGGCAAAGAGAGGAAAAUGUUUCUAGGGUUUGUCUCAGUCUGCCUUUUGGAGACAAGAAUAACAUUUAUAUAUAGGGAUGAGAUAAGGACAAAGAUUUUGAAGAUAUUUUUACACUAGUUUGUAGCUUUUAGAUCUUAUAAUAUUCAACGGUUUUGAUCAAAAGUUAUAUAAAAACUUUUAAAAUUUUAAACCAAAAAUGUGGUAGUAGAUGAUUGAAUUGGGGAUGUGAUAUCCACACAUCUCAUUUUAUUUUUCACACACUUUUUUAAUUUUUGGUCGUCGGAUCGGAUAAAUUGAAGAAGAUCAAUAGACAGAAAUUAUCAAGGGGUGUGUGAGAAGUAAAAUGGGUUGUGUGGAUAACACACCCCUUGAGUUAUUAUCUAAAUGUCGAUUAACUUUUGUCAGUAGUUAUAUUAAGCUAUUGAAAUAACACUUAAUUACUUCCUUCUUUUGGUCAACAUGGUGAGUAAGAUUUUAUGUUCAUCUACCACUUUAUAUCAAGAAUUGCGAUUAUUAUUUAAAAGAACAUUCAUUUAUUCUAUCCCCAACCUUUAUAACAAAAUUCAAAGCGGGUGAUAAUGCAUUUCAAAUAUCGAACUGUCAAUGAUAGUAACUACAUUGGAGCAAAAUACAAUGAGAAUUUUUUUUUAAUUUACUAUUAGUAUUUGUAAAUGAGAAGGAGAGAGGGAGAGAGAGGGAACGUGGGGGGGGGCAAGUUUUUUUUUGGUUUUUUUUUUUAAAUAUUGAAUGUAUUUUAACAUCACUUAUAGAUAAGGCUUCAAUAAAAAACAGUAAAAUUUGGACCUAUAAAUUACAUUAUUGAUAAAAAAAACUAAGUAGUAUUUUCACUUUCUUUUAAUUGAUAAAAAAGAUUUCAUUAAUUAAUAAAGAUUAUUAAGAAAGAAAGUAAAUUUAAAAUUAUUACAUUAAUUUAAUAGAAAUAUAAUUUCAAACCAAAAAACUCAACACAUAAUGAGAAUUGUCCUUAGCCUACGGGGAGACUUGUCUGGUUAUAGGACUUGGAUUCUCUGCCCUCCCAAUUCGGUACCCUCCCCGUCAAUAUUUUAUAUUACUAUUUAUUUUUUGUCUUAUUAUUUUUAUAAAAAAAAACAAUAUAAAAUGUUAGCAUGAAUUAACCAUGAUCACACAAAACAGGAGGACACGGAGAGGGGACCGAAUUGGGAGGCCAUAGAAUCCAAGUCCCUGGUUAUAUACUCAAUGAAUCAUUAGCUGCCAGCUGCCAGUUUACAUACUAAAUGAAUCAUUGGCUGCCAGCUGUCAAACCUUAUCUGCAAUGGUACUUUAGCCCUUGAUCACACAGGAAAAUAAAAUAAAAUAAAAUAAAAAAGAAAAAGACAAAAGCUUUGCAUGUCAAAGUAGUUGGGAUUCUGACAGUCACAUGUAUUGGACCUCACGUACUUUCUCAAUACUAACCUUUAUUUGCUGAGAAAUUCUUAGUUGUGACGAAAAUAUGAAUAAUAUAUUAUGUAUUUUUAUGUAAAUAGUAAAAAUAUUUAAUUUUAAUUUAUUAACUUUUUAACACAUAUAUCACAUUAUUUAUAUAAAGACACAUAAUAUACCAUCUCGUGUGACAGUUACAUUGAAAGAAAAUUCCUAUUUACUAUACUUCCUGCCAAAAACAAACAUAAAGCCGAGAUGGUCCCCAACAAUAAGAGAACCUUUAUUCAAGGACGUCGUACUUAAAAUAUUCCUCCAUGAAGAGAAUUUUUUUAGAAGUUUUAACGAAAAGUUCGUGUUAUUGUUCAUUACAUUAAAAAAUUAAAUCUGGUACUAUACAUUUUACUAUUUAUUUUGUCCUUAUCAUUAAAACUCAAAGUUUUCAAACCUUUUUCAUUAGUUUUUCUAAUUUUUUUUUUCCUUCCUAACUUCUUUCAUUAGGCUUUUUUUCUUAUGAACGAAUAUAAUUUUUUAUUGAGACAAUAAAAUAAAAAAAUAAUGUGUAAAAGAAGAGGAGGGAAAGGAAGGGAAGGAGAAUAAGAGAAGAAAUAAUCCUACUCCCUGUAAUAUAUAUGGGGCAAGAAAAAAUACUUUUGCUCUUCAUAGAUUAUUAUACUUAGAAGUACCGACUUAAAUAUCGCAUAUUUGGAAAAAUUUCUUCAUCAAUAAAAUUUUGUUAAACUACCUGGCAUUCUACUAUCGUAAUACAAAUAGAAGAACACAUAAAAAUAUAGGGGUGUGCUAUCCACACACCCCAAAUUACUUCUCACACACCUCUUGUUAAUUUCUAUCCGUUGAUCUUCUUCAAUUCAUCCGAUCCAACGGUCGAAAAUUAGAAGGGUGUGUGAGAAGUAAAAUGGGGUGUGUGGAUAUCACACCCCAAAAUAUAUAGCCAGCUAGGGUUAGCUAGAUUAAUUGACUUUCAGUUCAGUCGCCAGCUAGCUAGCUUAGGCUAUAUAAUUUCCAAAACAAGAGAUCAUCUAGGAGCUGCUAAUUAAGCCGAAAAAUACUGUUACAAAUGGAAAUAAGAGGCUUUGAUUUCGAACAUUGAUAAGACAAAAGGUUAAUUUAACAAGAUUUUAUUCAUAAUAAACGAUAACUAAUUCUCAUAACCAAACAUAAUUAAGCAUAUGAUAAAAAUAAGAACAUGAACUAAAUGUUCAUAGAUACAUAGUAUAACCAAUACACGUAAUUUUUUGCUAAUAGUGUUUCAUCAUAGAUACAUAGUAUAACCAACAUACGUGAUUCUUUGCUAGUAGUGUUUUACUGUAACGUUGCAUUGUGUAACAAAAUAUGCAUUUGGAAUGUCCACAAAAACCGUAUUACACGUAAUAAAUCCUCGAACAAAUCGAAACUUUCCGGUACCUGAAACAACCGAUAAUUCUCUAUGUUGCUCGAAUUGCUUAUCAAUUCCUUGUAUCUGUAGAGUGCUUCCAUUGUACUUCUUGUUUGUGAAUAAAAUUGAUAACAUAUCGUAGGAAUUACGUCCAUCCAAUGACGAUACCAUAAACAUGCCUUGUAUCCGGCCAACGGAGGCGGAUUUUAGGUCCAUGCCCUCCGUUAAAGGGGCAUCCUCCGCAUAAACAGUGGCAAAUUGAUUGUAGUUCCAAGUCUUGCCGGGAAUACCUGCAAACGCAACAUCUGUGAUAUUUUGCACCAGAUAAGAAGUCAUGAGCGUAGAAAGACAGGUGGGUUUCCUUGAACUCGUGAGUGGCUCGGAUCGCUGGAAAUGUAGUCAUGGCUAGAAUAACCAUGACGAAAAACAUGGAUGGAGCGCUGAGCUUUGGUAUGAAUUUUAACGCCAUUAGUGGAUGCAUGACAGCUAAUUGAGCAAACAAGAGAAAAGGUUAAUUAGGAAAAAUUAGGGAACAAUUAAGGUUUUGAAACUGCUUGGUGAGGUUCAGUCAUGGGUAUGCUUUCAAUUUCUUGUUGAACAAAAAAGAGUAUACAAGAUAACUCUAAUUAUUCCAAGAAGAAGAAAAUAAAGCACACUCUAAAGAAAGCUCACAAAAACACUAAUUAGCAAAGCUUUUCUUAUUUAGCACUUAGCUUUGUUUUUCCUUUGGAUGAUUUACAAGGCUUGGGGACUUGGGUAUUUAUAGCAAACCAAAUGAAAGCUACUUAAUUAAACUAAGAUUAUUUACUACCACACAAAACACAUUAAUUGCACCUAAUUAUUUUUUCCACACAACCAUACCUAACAUUGCCUAACAUUGCUUAACUUUGACAUUGACUAACAUUGACUAACUUUGCCUAACUUUGACAUUGACUAACAUUGCCUAACAUUGCCUAACUUUGACAUUGAUUCUCAACAUUUAUAACAUGAAAAAUGUUGGUAUUCAAAGUUUACUAACUCAAUACCAAAAAAUGUGGGUGAUAAGUUUUCUAACUCUAUCACAUCUCUCACUUUCACUCUCAAUUAAAAUUGGACAAAAGAAAGAAAGAUGCAGUAAGUUUUGAGAAAAAUAUUCUGAAGAGUUUACAACUUUUAUUUCUAGAAUAGGAUUACUUCAAACGUACAUAACCAAAGACUAAUACAUGCAAAAACAAAAGAACCCCACAAGUGGCUUUAAUAACAAUACAAAACAACGACUUUCUAAACCUAGUGUUGAAAUCUAUCAAAGCAAAACAAAUGAAUGUGUUCAAAAAAGUCUUCACACCCUUUUAACACUUUGGCCACUUCAGACACACACAAAAGCUAUCAAAGAAAAUACACGUAUAACUGUUGAAAAAACAAGGCAGCUAGCUGAAAAGUGUUCCACCAAUUAUGGCCCCUCAAUAGCUGUUGAUUUGAACUCCCAACACGCCGCCUCAAAUCAAAAUGCCUAGCAUUUCACGCAGCAACUUGAAUGACUUAACCGGCAGUGGCUUUGUGAAGAUGUCUACCACUUGUUCCUUGUUGUGACAAUAGACAAGCUCAAUUGUCUUUUGCUUCAUAUGGUCCCUCAUAAAAUGGAACCUGGUAUCAAUGUGUUUGCUCCUUCCAUGUUGGACUGGAUUCCUAGCAAACUUGAUAGCUGAAAUGUUAUCCACAUGAAUCACAGUCGAUUCCGCUUGUGGAUGACAUAAGGAUUUCAACAGAUUUCUUAACCAAAUUGCCUCACACACAGUUAAGGCUACAACAACGUACUAGCAUCGCAACUUUAGGGAGGGGGAGGUUCUAUUUGCUUUAGAGUCCACCACAUAAAUGGAAGGAGGUCUGUGAGAUUGUGACAGUGAGGUGCAGAGAAGAAGAGAGGUUGAGUGGCAGCAAUCCUGGCGGUGCUCAUGGCGAUUGGCUGGCGUUGACUGAGAUGAACAUCUUCUUCUUCGUUUCCCCUCCUUCUGUUCUUCCCCUUCCUUCCCACAAAACCCAAUUCCUCUGCCGACCACCAUGAACCACCACCACCACCUCUAGGUUCCAUCCAACCACCCAGAAUAAAACUCUUCUCUCCCUGCAUCUUCUUUUGGAUAUCGGAUCUCCCGACCUCUUCUCCGCCGCUGCAUCUCUUGAUGAAAUUGAAGUUCCACCAUAAAGCCAUGCAUCUCUUGAUGAAAUUGAAGUUCUACCAUAAAACCAAUUGGUAAUAUAGGGAGUAGCCCAAGACUAUAUAAGUACAUAGCAAACAUUGUCCCUCACCGAUGUGGGACAACUCUCAACACGCCCUCACACGUGUGGCGGAUUUUCAAGCCUACACGUGGACAACAACUGGGUGACGUGGAGCGUGUGUGGCCGUUUGGCUUCACACGAGGACAACCUCGCUCUGAUACCAUGAUGAAAUUGAGGUUUCACCAUAAAACCAAUUGGUAAUAUGGAGAGUAGUCCAAGACCAUAUAAGCACAUAGCAAAUCUUGUCCCUCACCGAUGUGGGACAACUCUCAACAUCUCCGACCCCUACAAACAAACAAAGAUUUGUCCCAAGAUCUUAGUUGAUAGUUAUGGCUUUCUCAUGUUCUCAAUCAUAAUUCUCUAUUGGUAAAUCAAGACAACAGUAUGUAAUGGCAAGUUAAGGAAAUUGGCAAGUAGGCAAGUUAGGCCUUAUUCUCUUCUAAUUCACAUCUAAUAAUUGAAAUAUUCAUUGUUAGUUUCACUCUCGUUAUUGAGCACUAUUAAUUUUUGGAUAUGAAAAGGGUCAACAUACCCCAAACACUUCAACACCGAAAAUCGCCUCGCAAAUAAGGUUGCAGUUAAGAGCAGUUAUCAAUGAUGAGGCCAUACCUUCUGACAUUAUCCCGAAAAUUCUCUUGACACCAGGAUAAACCCGUUAAAGAACCCGGAUCAACGGUCCGGAAGCUGCGCCAAGACGGCUCAGGAGGCAUCGUUAAGAGCCGAGACCUACAAAGCAUCGACCUGACAUUAUGUUUAUCGGUAUCCUCGUCGACAUCGACCAACCUCACAACAGACAGAUGCAGUUUGUCUGACCAAUUUCGUAUAUUUUAUCCAACAAUUCCAGUGCUUAAUCUACAACGUCGCCGAGCGUUCAAUUCUUCACUAUGCGCAGAGCUUCCGCUACUCUUUCUUGCAUCCGUCACACUCUUCGCUCACUGGCGGAUACAUCUAUAUUUAACGGAGGUUUAUGAGGACCAUCUGUCACUAAAUCUCGUCAAUCUGAGAGCCAUUUUUCUCUGAGCUUCUUAUUUGAAUGUUAUAUUUGAGGACAAGGUCCAAGGAACAAGCGGACAUAGAGAAAAUAAAGAUAAGUAAGAAAGAGGGAGAGGAGGAUGUUUGGCAUGAAAGGAAAGAGAAUCGACUUAAUCUAAAUACUUUCUAGACUCAUUUUGAAUGGUCUAAAAUCCGAGGUAUGCAAUAGUCUUCCGAUUCCGAGCGGCAGAUUUGAGUUAAGCUUAUCUGAAGUUCACAGUUGAGAUACAUAUUAAAAUCGUUGUUUGAGAAUAUCCAACUAGUUUUUCCACAUUAUUGGUUUGAUUACUGCAUACAACGCAUCGCGAUGGUGAUUUGUGCACAGUAGCAAAUUGGAUUGAGGCUAUGUGGAUAGUUGACAAGACCAUUAGGGAUUAGUUACAAUUCCAAGCGGCGUUGUACCACAUACUUUAACUGCCUAAUCAUAUGAUUUUCUUUCUUCUCUUUCUCUUCUCAUCUCGUAUGGCCACUAUUUCUCGGAUUAAUGCGCGUAGCAAAUAGGUGUAAUAGGGCAUUCGUAUUAUUUGGUAAGGUGGUCGCUUUAAGGUUUUAGUUGCGUUAUUGUGGCUCACCGUGAUUCUGUUUGGUACUAUUUGGGAAAUAAUAGAGUAUAAAUUAAAGGUGAGGGACAGUAUGGUAUACUGUUUUGAGGCUUGGAUUUUAAAAGAUCCUUAGUCGUGAAAAGAAACGAGGAUCGUUGUGCUUUUGAUGGUUGUGGCGAGACAGAGUAGUGAGUGAAUGGGGCUUGCCGAAAUCAUAGCAUCCGGUAGUCUGUAGCGGAGUGUAUGAACGACGGAUGCGCAGGAUUGUACUUCACGACGGCGAGAGACCUUAAUCUACAGAAAAUCAAAGAGCAAGGAGGUAUAAUGAGGUUUGAGGGUGCGAGGAGCUAGAUGAGCGCGGCUAUCUAGCAGUUCUCUGGUAACAAGAACCCAGAUGGGCUUCUGUGUGCGAGGGCAUCAUUUGUUUGCGACUGCACCGGAGAGCGAUGGUAUGUAGGAAGCAUAGCGAUGUCUCGAAGUGCGGGCCUCAGAUUUCUUGGUCUAUUGUAUGAAGCUAGUAAAAGAGGUCAUACUAUACUGCGCGGGACGCUCAGCGACAAAGAUCGUGCGGUGUCGAGGCCGCUAGCAGAGUGGAGGUUCGGUUCUUUGAACUUAUAUCACGAGGUGCACCAUUUAAACGUCCUGAGAGAGAAUAGACAGAAAGCUAAUAGGAGCGAGCACCAAAACCAAGUCUGUAUAGACACCAGAGUAUAAACGUGGAUUGAGCCUUCACAGCGGAGUCACUGCGAAUAAACACGCGCAUAUAACAAUAGAGCCUAGCCUAGUGUUAUCUUCUGCGAGAAACUGGUAACCAAUAAAGCAGGGGUUGGUCUACGGUUGCUGUCAGGGAACGCAUUAAUGCCCGAUAGACAUGCUAAAAAGGCUAGAACCCACACCACGCGAAUGAGCGUACCAAGAAAUCCAUUGACACAGAGAAGAGCACACC
rnacentral:lncRNA from 1 species